CAGCAGCCACGGGAAUACGUAGGUGGCAAGCGUUGUCCGGAAUUAUUGGGCGUAAAGGGCUCGCAGGCGGUCUCUUAAGUCUGAUGUGAAAGCCCCCGGCUCAACCGGGGAGGGUCAUUGGAAACUGGGAAACUUGAGUGCAGAAGAGGAGAGUGGAAUUCCACGUGUAGCGGUGAAAUGCGUAGAGAUGUGGAGGAACACCAGUGGCGAAGGCGACUCUCUGGUCUGUAACUGACGCUGAGGAGCGAAAGCGUGGGGAGCGAACAGGAUUAGAUACCCCAGUAGUCCCUGUCUCUUAUAC
rnacentral:rRNA from 1 species